CUGGCGGCGCGCCUAACACAUGCAAGUCGAACGCGAAAGCCGGCUUCGGCCGGUGAGUAGAGUGGCAGACGGGUGAGUAACACGUGGAUAACCUGCCCUUGAGUGGGGAAUAACCCCGGGAAACUGGGGCUAAUACCGCAUACGAUCUUUCGCUCAUAAGAGCGAGAGAUGAAAGCCUUCGGGCGCUUGAGGAGGGGUCCGCGGCUGAUUAGCUUGUUGGCAGGGUAACGGCCUACCGAGGCAUCGAUCAGUAGCCGGCCUGAGAGGGUGAACGGCCACACUGGCACUGAGACACGGGCCAGACUCCUACGGGAGGCAGCAGUGGGGAAUCUUGGACAAUGGGGGAAACCCUGAUCCAGCGACGCCGCGUGACCGAUGAAGCCCCUCGGGGUGUAAAGGUCUUUCGGUGGGGACAAUGAUGAUGGUACCCACAAAAGCAGCUGCGGCUAACUACGUGCCAGCAGCCGCGGUAAUACGUAGGCAGCAAGCGUUGUUCGGAAUUACUGGGCGUAAAGCGAGUGUAGGCGGCUUGCCAAGUCUGUUGUGAAAUCUCCCGGCUCAACUGGGAGGGUGCGGCGGAAACUGGCAGGCU
rnacentral:rRNA from 1 species